rnacentral:sRNA from 1 species
UACAAUCGCAUAGGCUCACUCAAGGGAUGGUCUGGCUCACCCCGCUUGAAAGGGGGUGAUGCCCAGGACAGUAUUUGAAGCAUUAUCACUGAUGAUCGCUUUCGGAACAUUAAUGGUCCUGCUGUCUAAAGAUACAAAGAAAUAGACCUCCCUUGAGCCCUGACAAGUUCGGGGAGGUCUAUUUCAUAAUACUCCUGAGUCAGCCGCUCCCUGAGUGGCAGCGAUCUGUACAUCGCCGUGGGUGUUACCAGCACCUGCG